rnacentral:rRNA from 1 species
UGAGGAAUUUUCCGCAAUGGAGGAAACUCUGACGGAGCAACGCCGCGUGCAGGAGGACGCUUUUCGGAGUGUAAACUGCUUUUCUGUGGGAAGAGUUUGGACGGUACCACAGGAAGAAGCCCCGGCUAACUACGUGCCAGCAGCCGCGGUAAUACGUAGGGGGCGAGCGUUGUCCGGAGUUACUGGGCGUAAAGGGCAUGCAGGCGGUCGGACGCGUUUUGUGUGACAGCGGGUGGCUUAACUACCCGAGUAUGCGAAAGACGGUUUGACUUGAGGGCUCGAGAGGGACACGGAAUUCCGGGUGGAGUGGUGAAAUGCGUAGAGAUCCGGAGGAACACCGAAGGCGAAGGCAGUGUCCUGGCGAGUGACUGACGCUGAGGUGCGAAAGCUAGGGGAGCGAACGGGAUUAGAUACCCCUGUAGUCC